rnacentral:lncRNA from 1 species
AAGUGGAAAGCGUGGUGGAGCUUCCAGGUGGAGUCGAAUCGACGCCGACGUCGCGCCGGGAAGCCGUGGAGCCGGUCGAGCGCGCGUUUGUUGCCGUAGCAUUGCGAGGAGGCCGGGCGAGGGUGUGAUUCCGCCGUUCUCGACGUCGCGCAGGAUUGGAUUUAGCGAGCGAGGUGGGUUAAUUAUCGGCUUAUACUCUUAAGUGUGCAAUAGUCAACAUGUGUAAUUUCAGAUUUUGUAUAGUUUACUUUAGCUCGAAUUCAUGGAUUUUGUUAUAGAUAGCAAAUCUGAAUUUGGAGCAUGUGGUAUUAAAUUGAGUAGUUUAUGCAUGUUGGACUUGGAAUUUGAAUUAGGAGAAAACCUGCGAUUUGGACCUGUCACAUGUUUAAACUGCCUGAUUUAGCUCUAGGAGCCGUUAUAAAAUUGUACUGUCGCAGUAUCUUCGAGACGAGUACUUCAGAUAGUUUAGAAUAUAUUUACGCUCGUGCUGGUGUGCCGAGUGGAUUUUUUACAGGGUCGUUCAGGUUGUUCCGGACUGUUGGGUGCCGUCAGGGUUGACGGUGGACCCGUAUCGCCUUUUUGGCGUCAGAUUGUGCUGAGGGCACGUUACCUAUUGGUUAUUAGACCAGUUUGAGUUGGUUACUUGACUUUGGCUUUUCAGAGCCUGAUUGAGCUCGACAGAGAUACGCUGCAUACUCGGUUGGGUAGCGCCCACGAGUGCCACUCCGGAGUCAGGCAUUGUGCUUUCGCGUUGGUGUCGCUCAUGCCAGUUGGACUUGCUCUCCACGAACCAGUUAGUGUGGAUAGAGCCUGAUAGUCGCAACAGGGCAGGGACGGGUGUAUUCACAGUCCCGGGGACGGGUAUGCUUACAGUCCCGAUUGGAUUGGGUCAGAUUUGAUAUUUACUACAGUUGGUUAGUGUAGAGCAUGAUAGUGUAGUGAUCGAUAGCGGUAGAGUUUACUUUCUGCUUUUCUGAGUACUCUUGCUCCAUUCUGUAGUCUUAGUGGGUGGACCGAUGUGGUUUUGGGCGGUACCCACUGAGGACUACUUGUUUUUACAGUAGUUCUCACGCCCAGUUGUUACCUCUGUUUUGUAGAGCCACAGGUUCCGGCUGCUGCGCCUUCCGCGGAUCAGGAUCGAGGCAAGGGCGUCGCGAGUUAGAGCCCUACCCGUCCUGCUGAGCUAGAGGUGCCCCUAUUGCAGGUAGAUGUUUUGUUUCGAGUUUUUGUACAUAGUAGACUUAACUCGCCAGUGCGAGUAGCUCUGUAUUUUGGAUUUGAACUAUGUAUAUGAAACUCAGUUUGUUUAGCUUUUGUUUUCUCUAGCAGCUCUCUACUACUGUUCGUAGUAGUGUUUGAUUUACAGGUACAGCUGUCGCUUCGUAUACAGGAAAAAUUUCUUUGUAUACGGCGGAUUUGUCGGCGUGCCCGGGGAACGAGACAUCCGGGGCGUGACAGAUUAAGUUGGUAUCAGAGCUUUGCUAUAGGUCGUUGGGACCUAGGAAAGCUAAGUUUGGCAAACCUUAGGAAAGCAAGACGCGAGAGGCGUAAUUUAUUGCGAAAGUCAAUGAUUAUUUGUCCUAACUCCUCCUAGAGUGGAGUGAGUGACUGAAGGAGUUCCUAUUUUGGCCUGAGAAAUUAUGUUGGCUGCAGACGACAUAAUUUUGGAGAAAAACAGGGACCGCCUUCCAGACUUUCGUUGAUUGGGUCGAGAGUGUUGCGUUGUAUCUGACCCCGAUUUGUUCCUUUCAGCUAUGUAUCGCCGUCGAGGUCGACCGUCGUUGCGAGAGCGUGCCCAGUUGACGCGGGAUCGUGCGGGAUCCCCUGAGAGACCUGAGCAAAUGGAGCAGAGUACUCGGCAGGAGCAGGGUGACAGACCAGAGGCGAGUGCACCCCCAGUUGUAGAUCAGAGGGCCCGACCGGAGGCUAGCGCCUCCCCUGAUCUGAGUGCACAGUUGGCCGCCCUGACUGAGGUGACGAGGCAGCAGGGGGAGUUAUUGCAGAGGUUGUGUGAGAGGAUAGCUCAGCCACCGAGUUCAGCACCGAGAGUACCAGAGUCGCCAGUGCCACCCCCGACUACUCCAGCCGUAGCACCAGCCACAGCUGUACCCCCACCAGCGGCAGUUCCAGUAGCGCCAGUUGCACCUCUUAGAAGACCGGUCCAGAUGACAGAGGCUGAGCAGGAGCGGAUAACAGAGAGGCUUGCUCGUUUUCGCCAUUUCGAUCCACCGACUUUUGAUGGCCGAUGUUCAGAGGAGUGGGUCGUCGAGGGCUAGGUUAGUGCGAUGGAGAAGCUGUUUGAGGAUUUAUAUGUUCCGGAGAGAGAGCAGGUAUCUUAUGGUGUUCACUGUUUGGCUGGCGACGCUCACGCCUGGUGGAAGAGGGUGAGGCGAGACUACAGGUUGGUAGCUUUGCAGAUGAGGUGGGACGAGUUCUGUGGAAUGCUGUAUGGGACGUAUUUUCCAGCAGUGUGAAACAGAAGCUCGAGAAAGAUUUGAAGAGGAUCCAGUAUGGGGAUCGGUAGGUACAGGAGUACAUUCGGGAGUUCACUCGACUCCUGAACUGUGUACCUUUUGUGGCUAGAGACGAGGCACACAGGGUGUACCUCUUUGAGCAGGGUUUGCGACCGGAGAUUUUCAGGCUCGUGCAUGCACAGAGGUUGAGGACCCUGGAUGCGUCCAUGGAGCAGGCACUUUGGGUUGAGCGGGGUGAUGUAUCCAUUCGGGAGAGGACUCAGGCAGUGGGGCAGAGUCAAGAGAGGAAGCGUCCAGCUCCAGACGAUGGCGGACAGUUGAGCAGCCGGCGUCCACCGAAACCUCCACGAUCGCGUUCUCAGGGUCGUGGGUCCUCGGGGCGUCAGCGUUCUGGGGUCAUCGAUAGCAGAGGCAGUCACAGGGGUUACCACCGUGCGUGAUUUGUGGGGGAUCACACUGGGCCCGACAGUGCGAGCAGCAUGAGGGCCGGUGUUUUGGAUGUGGGCAAGCGGGACACAUGAGGUCUGCUUGUCCCAGAGCAGAAUCACCAGCACCAUCGACCGCUUCAGCAUCACUAGCACCUCAGCAGUCUUUUGGAGCACCGCAGAGCUACCGCCAGGAGGACAGGGCGUCUGUGUCGCGUCAGGGUGAGCGGCGACAGCAGGCUCCGAGUGGCAGGGUUUAUGCAGCCCAGGUGGAGGACUCUAUAGCGGCCGACCGAGUGGUGGCAGGUAUCACUUUGAUUUCUGGCAUUAGAGUUCGCACUCUCUUUGAUACCGGUGCAUCUCAUUCGUUUGUUAGCCGAGCAUUUACAUUAUUGCAUGGUCUAGAGUUAGGAGUUUUGCCUCAGGCACGAGAGGUGCAGAUUCCAGACCAUGUCUUGCAGGUUGCGGAGUAUUGUUGGUUGUGUCAGGUGCAGUUGGACUCAUGGAUUAUGCCCGCAGACUUAUUGGUUUUAGGGCAGUUGCAGGACUUCGAUGUUGUGCUCGAUAUGGAUUGGCUGGCGCGGUACUAUGCUACGAUCGACUGUGGAGCGAGGACGGUGACGUUCCGUGAGCCUGGCCAAGAGGAGUUUACUUUCAGAGGCUGCAGAAGUACGUUGUUUGCCACCUGGAUCUCUUCGGCGAGGGCUCGACAGAUGCUGAGUAGCGGGUGUAUCGCUUUCCUAGCGACUGUUAUGGAGGUACCUACGGCAGCGCCGGGACUCGAGGACAUCCCAGUAGUCCGCGAGUUUUCUGAUGUGUUUCCCCCUGAGUUGACGACGUUGCCGCCGGAGAGGGAGAUUGAGUUUGUGAUUGAUGUAGUUCCUGGAACUGCACCAAUCUCAAAGGUACCUUAUCGGAUGGCGCCGGCAGAGCUGAGAGAGCUAAAGGCACAGCUUCAGGACUUGAUGGAUAGAGGGUUUGUGAGACCCAAUGUUUCGCCUUGGGGAGCGCCGGUGUUAUUUGUGAAGAAGAAGGAUGGUUCACUUAGGCUGUGUGUGGAUUACCGGGAGCUGAAUAAAGUGACCAUCAAGAAUAAGUAUCCCUUGCCGCUCAUUGAUAAUUUGUUUGAUCAGCUGCAGGGAUCUUAUGUCUUCUCGAAGAUUGAUCUCCAGUCAGGUUACCACCAGUUGAGGGUGAGGGCCGAGGAUGUUCCCAAGACGACUUUUCGGACUCGGUACGGGCAUUAUGAGUUCACGGUGAUGCCUUUUGGAUUGACAAAUGCCCCUGCCGCAUUCAUGGAUUUGAUGAACAGAGUGUUCAAGCCGUUCUUGGAUAGGUUUGUGGUAGUCUUCAUCGAUGAUAUUCUGAUUUACUCCCGGAGUGAUGCCGAGCAUGAGGAGCACUUGAGGACUGUGUUACAACUUCUGCGAGAGAAGAAGUUGUACGCCAAGUUAAAGAAGUGCGAGUUCUGGCUACGGGAGGUUGCUUUCUUGGGCCACGUGAUUUCAGCCGAGGGCGUAGCAGUGGACCCGAUGAAGAUUGAGGCAAUUCGAGAUUGGCCUAGACCGACGACGGUGACGGAGGUACGGAGUUUCCUGGGACUGGCAGGAUAUUACCGUCGGUUUGUGGAAGGCUUUGCGAAGCUUUCCACACCCCUCACUCGCUUGACGCGGAAGUGGAUUCGAUUUAUCUGGAGCGACGACUGUCAGAGAAGCUUUGACGAGUUGAGACUGAGGUUGACGUCGGCUCUUAUCCUUGCCCUUCCUGUUAUGGGCGAAGGAUUUGUGAUCUACAGUGAUGCAUCGCACAGUGGACUUGAUUUCGUGCUGAUGCAGUAUGGUAGGGUGAUUGCUUAUGCUUCACGGUAAUUAAAGGAUUAUGAGAAGAAUUACCCUACGCAUGACUUGGAGCUUGCCGCGGUGGUUUUUGCUUUGAAGCUCUGGCGGCAUUAUUUGUACGGCGAGCACUGCGAGGUCUUUACCGAUCACAAAAGUCUCAAGUAUCUGUUCACACAGAGGGAGUUGAAUCUGAGACAGCGCCGGUGGUUGGAGUUACUGAAGGACUACGACAUUAGUAUUCAGUAUCAUCCCGGCAGGGCGAAUGUAGUGGCAGAUGCGUUGAGCAGGAAGUCAGUGCAGAGCCUGAGUUUGAUGAGCACACAGCAGAGGCCGUUACUAGAGGAGCUACAGCGGAUGAGGCUCGAGAUAGUGUCCCCUGGAUCUAUUACGAGAUUAAUGUCUUUGGUGUUGCAGCCUACUCUGUUGGAUAGGAUCCGAGAGAAAUAGAGUAGAGAUCCAUACUUGUUGAGGAUUCAAGAGCAGCUGGAUAGGGGACAGGCUGAGGGUUUUGCUAUUGACAGUUCGGGAGUACUACGGUACAGGGACCGACUGUGUGUGUCUGUGGAUUCGGAGGUCCGAGAGGACAUUUUGAGAGAGGCUCAUUGUUCUCCUUAUACGGUUCAUCCUGGGGAAACCAAGAUGUAUAAGGAUUUAAAGGCACAAUUCUGGUGGAAUGGAAUAAAGAGGGAUAUUGGCAGAUAUGUGGCUCAGUGUUUGACUUGUCAACAGAUGAAGGCCGAGCAUCAGGUACCUGCUGGCAAGCUUCAGAGUCUGCCAGUGCCCGAGUGAAAGUGGGAACAGAUUACUAUGGACUUCGUCGUGGGGUUGCCGAGAGCACAGGGUGGAUAUGAUGCGAUUUGGGUGAUAGUGGACAGACUGACUAAGUCUGCUCACUUUCUACCUGUUUAGACCACCUGGUCCAGAGAGAGACUCGCACAACUGUACCUAGAUGAGAUUGUCAGGCUGCAUGGUGUACCAGUGUCGAUUGUAUCAGACAGGGACCCGAGGUUUGUAUCACACUUCUCGAGGAGUCUACAGACAGCCUUGGGUACACAGCUACAGUUCAGCACGGCGUUCCACCCAUAGAUAGAUGGUCAGUCAGAGCGGACCAUUCAGACUCUGGAGGACAUGCUGAGAGCAUGUGUCCUGAAUUUGGAGGAGGGUGGUAUCGACAUGUGAGACUGGUUGAGUUUGCGUACAACAACAGCUAUCAAACGAGCAUUCAGAUGGCUCCGUUUGAGGCAUUGUAUGGACGCAGAUGUCGAUCCCCUUUAUUUUGGAGCGAGGUGGGUGAGAGGAGAACACUGGGGCCUGAGAUUCUGCUAGAGGCUGAGGAAAACGUGAGAGUUGUUCGACGACACCUUUUGACAACCCAGAGCCGCUAGAGGAGCUAUGCCGAUACCAGGAGACGAGACUUAGAGUUUCAGGUAGGAUAGCAUGUUUUUCUCAAAGUCUCGCCGUCCAGAGGGAUUUGUCGAUUUGGAGUACGUGGAAAGCUCAGUCCACGUUUUGUUGGCCCUUUCGAGGUAUUGGAGUGAGUGGGACCAGUUGCAUACAGGAUCGCUCUACCCUCGCGACUAGCUGGCAUUCACGAUGUCUUCCACGUCUCAGCAUUGAGGAAAUAUAUUUUUGAUCCUUCUCACGUGAUCGACUUCACUCCACUAGAGAUUGGCGAGAAUCUAAGAUACGAGGAUCGACCGUUGCGGAUUCUUGCUCGGGAGACGAAAGAAUUGCGCAAUCGGGUUAUCCCGUAUGUAAAGGUGUAGUGGAGUAAUCACGAGGAGCGGGAGGCGACUUGGGAGCCUGAGACGGUGAUGAGGGAGUCCUAUCCCUAUCUGUUCGAUGCCCUAAGCUGAGGUAUGUUUAAGUUUCGAGGACGAAACUUUUUGUAGUAGGGGAGGAUGUAAUAUCCUAGGUUGAAAUAGAGUUGGUAAAAGGGGCCUAUAUUUUUUUUACCAAACCUUAUCAGCUCCACCGCCUAUAUUUUUACCAAUCCUUAUCUUGUUCACCACGUUAUAUAGAGGUGGCAUGCAGGAGCUUUGUUGUAGCCUAAUUAAUUAACUCUCUCUCUAGGUUGAAGUGGAAAGCGUGGUGGAGCUUCCAGGUGGAGUUGAAUCGACGCCGACGUCGCGCCGGGAAGCCGUGGAGCCGUUCGAGCGCGCGUUUGUUGCCGUAGCAUUGCGAGGAGGCCGGGCGAGGGUGUGAUUCCGCCGUUCUCGACGUCGCGCAGGAUUGGAUUUAGCGAGCGAGGUGGGUUAAUCAUCGGCUUAUACUCUUAAGUGUGCAAUAGUCAACAUGUGUAAUUUCAGAUUUUGUAUAGUUUACUUUAGCUCGAAUUCAUGGAUUUUGUUAUAGAUAGCAAAUCUGAAUUUGGAGCAUGUGGUAUUAAAUUGAGUAGUUUAUAUAUGUUGGACUUGAAAUUUGAAUUAGGAGAAAACCUGCGAUUUGGACAUGUCACAUGUUUAAACUGCCUGAUUUAGUUCUAAGAGCCGUUAUAAAAUUGUACUGUCGCAGUAUCUUCGAGACGAGUACUUCAGGUAGUUUAGAAUAUAUUUACGCUCGUGCUGGUGUGCCGAGUGGAUUUUUACAGGGUCGUUCAGGUUGUUCCGGACUGUUGGGUGCCGUCAGGGAUGACGGUGGACCCGUAUCGCCUUUUUGGCGUCAGAUUGUGCUGAGGGCACGUUACCUGUUGGUUAUUAGACCAGUUUGAGUUGGUUACUUGACUUUGGCUUUUCAGAGCCUGAUUGAG